UAUCCUCCCUCUUUUUCCCACAGGAAAGAAGUCACCGGAGAGGGGGUCUGUCACAAUAGUGCUGUAAGUAUAAAGCCAUUAUCCUUAUUGUAACAGUGAAUAAUACUAACUAUUCACCAUGGUACAUACAAAGUAGCUAAUGUGAAUUUACCAGGCUACCAGCGGGCAUAUAAUAACAAUUUCUUUACGACGAGGGUCGGAGUUAUUCAUAUUGAAGGACACGUCUGUUAGCAACGGUAGAGUCUCAUUUUUCGUCUUAGGAUUCUCCCAUCGCCAGGACCGAAUGGAAUCCACUGAUAUAAUGAUUUAAAAUACACCGCCAUGAUAAAUUAUCUCCGACAAGGGUCGGAGUGAUUCAUAUUGAAUGUCAUGUCUGUUAGUAACGGAGGAUUCCCAUUUUUCAUCUUAGGAUUCUUCCACCGUCAAAAUCAAAUGGCAUCCAGUCACAUGGUGAUUUGCAAUACACUGGAUCGUGCGUCGGUACCAACGCCGAAAGGCGUAGUAAUUACACUGAAACUGUCAUGUACAAUUCACGCUAUCCCGAUUGUAAUGUAUAUUCUGUUUUCUUGCAGAACGAAGGAGAUACGGAUCGCCCCUAAUUUAAGGACAAUCAUUGUGCCGCAGACGAACCUCCUUAUCUUCAAAUUAGUGUCCCCGAAGGAUCGAUUCAGGUCAUUUUUCUCACCCCAGCAGGGAAACUGACUGCCCUGCAGCGAAAUGCAUGUCAAGCAUUCCCGGCGAGUUACAUGCAUAUAGUGAAUAAUAUGUUAAACAAUACAGAUGAGGGAGCUAUUUGGAAAGACGACGGACGCUAUUAUGUCAUAAUGAGCCGACCCGACAAGAAAAAGCUGAAAGAACAUAUGGUUAAUAUACUAGCCACGCUGGUAUUAAAUCCGUCCUUGUGCCCUAACAAGGAGGUAUACUAUGUUACAAACGGGGACCCGUCAUGGGACCCCUCCCAUCUGAUGGGGGCGGUGGAGGAAGAUUGGAACGUAACACAAUACAUCGCCGCGACAAAAAUUCCUCCCUGCUUUGGAAGAUCCCGUCAGCGAAACACAAGCAUGCGGUGGCUCCAGAGAGGUAAAGGCGCAGAGUCGGGGAGAAAGGGGAAUAGCAAAAAGGUACAACCCCAAUAACGAUGUUGUUGGUUUCGAUCUGAACUUGAUUAAAUUGGCUCUGGAGGGCGAACGACUCAGAAGGAGUAUGUCGACAGCCACUCACGAAGGCAUUACCACACUAAAACCACAGGUACGUUAUUUCAUGGAAUUAAUAGAAUGUCGUAUAAAUACUAAUAUCUAUCAGGGGUAACAAGAAACACGUAUGAAGAAUACAACAAUCCUGAAGAGAAG
rnacentral:lncRNA from 1 species